GGAGAACUGGCCGAGCGGCUGAAGGCGCACGCCUGGAAAGUGUGUAUAGGUUUAUACCUAUCGAGGGUUCGAAUCCCUCGUUCUCCGCCA
rnacentral:tRNA from 1 species